rnacentral:rRNA from 1 species
AUUGAACGCUGGCGGAAUGCUUUACACAUGCAAGUCGAACGGUAGAGGGGGCAACCCCUCGAGAGUGGCGAACGGGUGAGUAAUAUAUCGGAACGUGCCCAGUCGUGGGGGAUAACGUAGCGAAAGUUACGCUAAUACCGCAUACGAUCUACGGAUGAAAGCGGGGGAUCGCAAGACCUCGCGCGGUUGGAGCGGCCGAUAUCAGAUUAGGUAGUUGGUGGGGUAAAGGCUCACCAAGCCAACGAUCUGUAGCUGGUCUGAGAGGACGACCAGCCACACUGGAACUGAGACACGGUCCAGACUCCUACGGGAGGCAGCAGUGGGGAAUUUUGGACAAUGGACGCAAGUCUGAUCCAGCCAUUCCGCGUGCAGGAUGAAGGCCCUCGGGUUGUAAACUGCUUUUGUACGGAACGAAAAGGUCUCUCUUAAUACGGGGGACUCAUGACGGUACCGUAAGAAUAAGCACCGGCUAACUACGUGCCAGCCGCCGCGGUAACAC